GACGAACGCUGGCGGCGUGCCUAAUACAUGCAAGUCGAGCGAACUUUCUCUGGUCCUUGCUCCGGAAAAACUUAGCGGCGAACGGGAGUGUCACACGUAAAGAACCUGUCUCAUAGACUGGUAACAUCAUUGGAAACGAUAGCUAAUACCGGAUAACAGUAUUAACUGCAUGGUUGAUGUUUAAAAGUUUGUUUUUCUAACACUAUGAGAUGGCUUUGCGGUGCAUUAGCUAGUUGGUGGGGUAAAGGCCUACCAAGGCGACGAUGCAUAGCCGACCUGAGAGGGUGAUCGGCCACACUAGAACUGAGACACGGCCCAGACUCCUACGGGAGGCAGCAGUAGGGAAUCUUCCGCAAUGGGCGAAAGCCUGACGGAGCAACGCCGCGUGAGUGAAGAAGGAUUUCGGAUCGUAAAGCUCUGUUGUUAGGGAAGAAUGAUUGUGUAGUAACUUUACACAGUAGAGACGGUACCUAACCAGAAAGCCACGGCUAACUACGUG
rnacentral:rRNA from 1 species